AUGAACGCUGGCGGAGUGCCUAACACAUGCGUAAGUCGAGCGGCAGCGCGAGUAGUUUACUACUUGGCGGCGAGCGGCGGACGGCUGAGUAACGCGUGGGAACAUGCCCCAAAUUGAGGAAUAAGCACCGGAAACGGUGUCUAAUGGCCGCAAUAUGAUCUUCGGAUUAAAGGAUUUAUCCGCUUGGGAGUGGCCUGCCGUACGAUUAGAUAGUUGGUGAGGUUAAAGGCUCACCAAGUCGAACGAUCGUUAACUGGUUGGGAGGAUGAUCAUCAGUCCAGACUGGAACUGAGACACACGGUCCAGACUCCUACGGGAGGCAGCAGUGAGGAAUCUUCCACAAUGGGCGAAUAGCCUGAUGGAGCAACUCCGCGUGCAGGAUGAAGGCCUUCGGGUCGUAUAAACUGCUUUUAUAGAGUGAAGAAUAUACGGUAACUCAUGAAUAAGGGUCCGGCUAACUACGUGCCAGCAGCCGCGGUCAUACGUAGGACCCAAAGCGUAUCCGGAGUGACUGGGCGUAAAGAGUUGCGUAGGUGGUCUCAUAAGCGAUAGUGAAAUCUGGUGACUCAACCAUACAGACUAUUAUUCGAACUGUGAGACUCGAGAACAGCAGAGGUAACUGGAAUUUCAUGAAGUAGGGGUAAUAUCCGUAGAUAGUCAGAAGGAAACCCCAAUGGGCGUAGGCAGGUUUACUGGGCUGUUUCUGACACUCGAGGCUUACGAAAGCGUGGGGAGCGAACCGGAUUAGAUACCCGGGUAGUCCACCCGUAAACGAUGGAUACUAGCUGUUGGACGGUAUCGACCCCCUUCCAGUAGCGAAGCUAACGCCGUUAAGUAUUCCCGCCUGUGGAGUACGGUCGCAAGACUAAAACAUAAAGGAAUUGACGGGGACCCGCACAAGCGGUGGAUCAUGUUCUUAAUUCAGAUGAUAAACGAAGAACCUUACCAGGGCUGACAUCAGGGAAGCACUACGAAAGUAGAGUGUGCCUUUUGGAACCCUGUGAACAGCUGAUGACGUGAUGCAUGGCCGAUCGUCAGCUCGUGGUCGUGAAUAGUUUGGUUAGUCCAUCAACGCAGGCGCAACCCCUUGUGAUUAGUUGGAUUUUUCUAAUCAGGACUGCCCCGGUAACGGGGAGGAAGGAGGGGAUGACGUCAGGUCAGUAUUUCUCGUACGUCCCUGGGCUAGAAACGUGAAUACAAUGGCAGGUACAAUAGCGCAAGCGAAGCCGCGAGGUGAAGCAAAAUCGCAUCAAAGCUUGUCCCAGUUUCGGAUAUGGAAGGCUGGAAACUCGCCUCAUUGAAGUCGGGAAUCGCUAGUAAGUCGCAAUGUCAAGCGAAACUGCGGUGAAUACGUUCCCGGGUCUUGUACACCACCGCCCGUCAAACCAUGAAAGUGAACCAACUACCCGAAGUCCGAUUCGGUCGGCCUAAGGAUGGGGGGGCAUGAUUGGGGUU
rnacentral:rRNA from 1 species